rnacentral:rRNA from 1 species
GACACUAUAGAAUACUCAAGCUAUGCAUCCAACGCGUUGGGAGCUCUCCCAUAUGGUCGACCUGCAGGCGGCCGCGAAUUCACUAGUGAUUAGAGUUUGAUCAUGGCUCAGAACGAACGCUGGCGGCGUGGAUUAGGCAUGCAAGUCGAACGGAACUUCUAGCUUUUUCGGAAGUUUAGUGGCGAAAGGGUGAGUAACACGUGGGUUACCUGCCCUAGGGUUCGGGAUAACCUGUCGAAAGACGGGCUAAUACCGGAUACGUCCUGCACUUUUCGAAGUGCAGGGGAAAGAUGGGGAUCCGUAAGGACCUAUCACCCUUGGAUGGGCCCGCGGCCUAUCAGCUAGUUGGUGAGGUAAUGGCUCACCAAGGCUAAGACGGGUAGCUGGUCUGAGAGGAUGGUCAGCCACACUGGAACUGAGACACUGUCCAGACACCUACGGGUGGCUGCAGUCGAGAAUCUUUCGCAAUGGGGGAAACCCUGACGACGCGACGCCGCGUGGAGGAUGAAGGCCUUCGGGUUGUAAACUCCUGUCAGCAGGGGAGAACAAGCUGUCGAUGAAUAAUCGAUAG